rnacentral:lncRNA from 1 species
UCUGGAGACCAGGCUGGCCUCGAACUGAACUCACAGAGAUCCGCCACAGAUUCAAGAGUCUUAUGAAGAUGCUUUAGACUCCAUGGCCCUGUCAAAGGGCAGAACCAUCCUGUCACUGAUUCCAUGUUGUCUGAUAGACUUUGGAAAGAGAGACGUAGCAGGUGGCGACUAUCGACGUGACCUUUCAGAUCAUCUCCACAACUCUGAGUGCGUUUAAAGGGAGAAGCCUGACAUUUGUGGCUAUGAUCAUUCAUAGUCUCGUCAUCCGCCCCAUUGAUCGAGGACACCGGUCACAUCACUGUCUUGAAGCCCAGUGACAAAUGUGGCAUCUGACUGACAAGUAAAAGCUCAAACCAAAAUAAGGCUACCUGCUUCAUGGGAUGUUUUCAGGACAAAAAUGGUGACUGAUGCCAUAUAGGAUGCUUGUAAAAUACAGGAGUCACUCCUUAGUCCUGUCUCUUAAAGGUUCUGCCACUGUCAAGCACAGACUGAGAAGCAAACCUCAAACCCAGGGCCUUGGGGAGGCAGUUACCACAACCAUCGGUGCUGAGACCUAAAUGUCACUCCACUUGGAUUGAGGUCUCCCGG